CGGACGGGUGAGUAAUGCUUAGGAAUCUGCCCAAUAUGGGGGACAACUCGAGGAAACUCGAGCUAAUACCGCAUACGCCCUACGGGGGAAAGCAGGGGAUCUUCGGACCUUGCGCUAUUGGAUGAGCCUAAGUCGGAUUAGCUUGUUGGUGAGGUAAAGGCUCACCAAGGCGACGAUCCGUAGCUGGUCUGAGAGGACGAUCAGCCACACUGGGACUGAGACACGGCCCAG
rnacentral:rRNA from 1 species